UUUGCUGUACUUAUUGUCCUUCCCAUCUCUUUUCUCUGUUUUCCCUUAUAAUCGCCCUUCCCUUUUUCGGUGAUCUAUCUAUAUCUCUUCAUCAUCACCCCCUUUGUUUAUCUCUGGUUUCUUCUACCCUUCACCUUGGAAAUAUAAAACGAGCAGUAAUCUUGUUGCUACAGUGGAACAUACUUCCCUUGGUCUCCUCCUCUUCCUUCAAUUCCACUCAGAGCUUGGUUUCAAGACUGGAACAUUAAGUUUGGCAGCAGGGCAUUCCAAUUUAAGCGAAUGGCUACGCAUGCUACAGACAAUCACUAUACAGUCGUUGAUAAGAAGAAAGGGCGAGUUAGGUGCAAUUAUUGUGGAAAGGAAGUAAGUGGUUCUACUCGUCUUAAGCAACACUUGGGUGGAAUACCUCCUGAUGUGUUACCUUGUCUUAAAGUUCCAGAGGAUGUGAAGGUACAAAUGAAAAACAACCUAAUGGGAAGAACAAAAGCAGAUGGUAACACCGAAUUUCAUAAAUCGUUCAAAUCGUGUUCUGUACGGAAGAGGAAGUCCAGCUCCGACGGCCCCUGUAAAGACAACCAUGUUUCCAGUCAACCCGCCAGUUUGUCAAGGAAGAGAAAGCACCACAUUACAACUGAGUCUGGAUUAAAGGACAACGAUGAGAUGGCACAGAGCUUGAUUAAUCCCGAACAAUUGAAUGCAAACACCGCAGGGGAGAUUGAAAAACAAGCUGAAGAUAAGUCAUCCAGACAAAUCCAAAGGUGUAUAGGCAGAUUCUUUUUCGAAAAUGGUAUAGACUUUAAUGCUGUGAACUCACCUACUUUCCAGAAAAUGAUGCAUGCUUUUGCUGGACAUGGAUCCACGUUGUAUAAGGUGCCUAGUUGUAAUGAUCUAAAGGGGUGGAUUCUGCAGGAAGAACUGAAGGCAUCACAAGAGUAUGUGCGAGGAGUUGUGCACUCAUGGGGAACCACUGGAUGUAGUAUUUUGUUGGAUGGGUGGAUCGAUGGGAAAGGGAGAAAUUUGAUUAAUUUUGUGGUUGAUAGCCCACGGGGUCCUGUAUUUAUGAAGUCUGCCGAUGUGACAGAUAUCAUAGGAGAUGUGGUUGCCAUGAUCACAUUGUUAAGUGGGGUUAUUGAGGAGGUUGGGGUACAGAAUGUUGUUCAAAUUGUCUCAUAUACUACUCUUGGUUCACUGAGCGCAGUGGGCAAUAAGUUGACAGAGAAAUACGGGACUAUAUCUUGGACUAUUUGUGCGGCUCACUGCAUAGGCCUCAUCUUGGAGAAGAUAGGAAUGCUGGAUCCUUGGAGAGGUGUACUUGAUAAGGCAAAGGAUAUUACUAAGCUCAUUUACACACAUGAGACAGUUUUGAAGCUUAUGACGAAACACACUUCUGGGGUCGAGCUACUCAGUUCCAGGAGGAUUAGGUCACUGACGCCAUUUCUAAUACUGGAGAGAAUUGAGUCUCAAAAGAAUAAUUUGAAGAUCAUGUUUAGUUCGUUAGAAUGGAAGAGCUCAGCCUUAGCUUCAACAGCUGAUGGAGUGCAUGUGACUGAUUUAGUCACUGGAGUGUCGUCUUUCUGGACUGAAGCCCAGAUGCUUUUGAAGGGAAGUCUUCCACUCAUACGUGCUCUGCAUCUAAUCAGUGGAGGAGAUAGUAAACCCCAGUUGGGAUACAUAUAUGAAACGAUGGACCAAGUAAAAGAGACAAUAAAAGAUGAGUAUGAAGACGAGAAAACUAAAUAUCAGCCUUUCUGGACAGCAAUUGAUGGGAUCUGGAAUAACCAACUCCAUAGCCCUAUCCAUUCUGCUGCCUGCAUUUUGAAUCCGAGCCUUCUUUACUCAUCUGAGGACGUUGACGAUGAUAAUGAGAUCAAGGAUGGGCUUUCGCGCUGCAUUCAGGGAAUGGUAAAGGAGAAGCGUGCUCGAGAUUUAAUAUUAUUACAGUUGAAUGACUAUUUAGAGGCUAGUGGUGCUUUUGGCGAGGGGGUUGCUAUUGAUCAAAAAACGAAGCUUUCUCCAGUGAAGUGGUGGUCCUUGUAUGGAGGUCAAUGCCCUGAGUUGCAAAGUUUUGCUAUGAGAAUAUUAAGUCAGACGUGUACUGGUGCCUCAAGAUUUGGUCUGAAAAGGAGUCUAUCUGAGCAACUUCAUAUGAAUGGAAGGAACCCUGUAGAGCAGAAAUUAUUGACUGACCUUACAUUUGUUCAUCAUAAUCUUCAGUUGCAAAAUGCUGUAUCUAUUACAAACACAGAUUACAAAGAUAUAUUUCUUGAAGAGAUGGAUCCAAUGAAUGAAUGGGUUCGCGGAGGGGACGUUGAAAGAGUAACCAGCUUAACUAAAUGGUGAUUAAAUUAAGUGUUUCUGAUACGCGGUUUGAAUUUGAUAUCCUUUGGACUGGUCUGGAUUAGGAACUGCAGUCUGCUGGUUGUUCUGGGAAGCUUGAUGAUCUGUGAUUAGGUGCAAAUCAAAAUCCUCUUCUAGCUUUUCCCCUUGCAUUGAAGCUGCAGAAGCCAUAUAACGGAAUGUAACAUGUCAGAAGUUCUUUUUGCGGGAGACUGCGAAGGAGAUCAGUUUUGUUGCUUUUUACUCGGCCUCAGUUUGUGGAGUCACAUCCCUCACGCCCUCACGGGUCUCUUCUUCACUGUUGUAACAUGUUUAAAACUCAAAACACCAUCUGUUGUAGAUUUAUCUAACAGUCCUAACUAUUUUGGCUGAUGGAUUUGCUCUGUUUGCUAGAACAGGCAUCAAGUUCUAUAUAUGUGUUCAAUGUCUGCUGAUCCAACGAGAGCUCUUGGUCAUAGUUACAUGGAUUGCCAAAGUCAAAAUAAGCUAUUACAUUAUAAAAACUUGAAAUAUU